rnacentral:rRNA from 1 species
GUCCGCAACGAGCGCAACCCUAUUGCCAGUUGCUAACAGGAGAGCUGAGCACUCUGGCGAGACUGCCGCCGACAAGGCGGAGGAAGGUGGGGAGUGACGUCGAAGUCAUCAUGGCCUUUAUGCCCAGGGCUACACACGUGCUACAAUGGCCGGCACAGACGGCAGCUUAGUGGCGACACUUGGCAAAUCCUCUAAAGCCGGUCCCAGUUCGGAUUGUAGUCUGCAACUCGACUACAUGAAGCCGGAAUCGCUAGUAAUCGCAGAUCAGCCAAGCUGCGGUGAAUACGUUCCCGGGCCUU